GCCAGGAUGGGAUUAGCUGUUGAUAAGGGGCCCUGCAUUGUUCUAGCUCUCCCCUGAGGCCCACACUACAUCCUAGAAGAGGAGAAGCCAGGUCCCUGGGACCUAGUUGGGACAAAGUGGUGACGGAGCUGAGGAUGCUGCCCUGGGAGUCUGACCGGGGCUGUGGCAGGAGGACACAGGGCGGAGUAGAGGGUGCUGAUGAACUCAGGGAUGACUUGGGAGCUGAUGGGUGGCAGCUGCAUCUAGGACCUGGGCCAUGGAAGCUUGCUGGGAGGAGAUGGAGGCUGCCUGAGCUCUGGGGUCAAGGCCCAGGGUCCUGGCAGCUCCCCGCCUGGACUUUGUUCUUCCGAAGACUGCCCUAA
rnacentral:lncRNA from 12 species